UAGGGAAUCUUCCGCAAUGGGCGAAAGCCUGACGGAGCAACGCCGCGUGAGUGAUGAAGGUCUUCGGAUCGUAAAACUCUGUUAUUAGGGAAGAACAUAUGUGUAAGUAACUGUACACAUCUUGACGGUACCUAAUCAGAAAGCCACGGCUAACUACGUGCCAGCAGCCGCGGUAAUACGUAGGUGGCAAGCGUUAUCCGGAAUUAUUGGGCGUAAAGCGCGCGUAGGCGGUUUUUUAAGUCUGAUGUGAAAGCCCACGGCUCAACCGUGGAGGGUCAUUGGAAACUGGAAAACUUGAGUGCAGAAGAGGAAAGUGGAAUUCCAUGUGUAGCGGUGAAAUGCGCAGAGAUAUGGAGGAACACCAGUGGCGAAGGCGACUUUCUGGUCUGUAACUGACGCUGAUGUGCGAAAGCGUGGGGAUCAAACAGGAUUAGAUACCCUGGUAGUCCACGCCGUAAACGAUGAGUGCUAAGUGUUAGGGGGUUUCCGCCCCUUAGUGCUGCAGCUAACGCAUUAAGCACUCCGCCUGGGGAGUACGACCGCAAGGUUG
rnacentral:rRNA from 1 species